GAGGACGAAAUAAAUCGCAUAAUCAGAUAAGGCUGCUCCUUGUGCACCGCCUCCCCGUAGUCCCAGUGUCCCCAAACGCCCCACAGGUCGUCGUCGUCCUCCUCCUCCUCCUCCUCCUCCCCGUCCUCGUCUUCCUUGUGAGCUAUCCCAUCUAUUACAUCUCGACCAUCGCCUCAAUCCCUUCAAAGACAGACCAGCCACAUCUCUUUGUCCUUCGAUCACUUGAUGCUCAUCUGAGGCAUGGAUCGGAUCAUCGGUGGGAAGUACAAGCUAGGUCGGAAGAUUGGGAGCGGAUCUUUCGGGGAGAUCUACCUAGCUACGCAUGUUGACUCUUUCGAGAUCGUCGCCGUCAAGAUCGAGAAUAGCAAGACGAAGCACCCACAGCUGCUUUAUGAGGCCAAACUCUACAACAUUCUGCAGGGAGGAAGUGGUAUUCCAAACACAAAAUGGUGUGGUUUGGAUGGGGAAGACAAUGCACUUGUUCUUGACCUGCUUGGUCCCAGUCUUGAGGAUUUGUUUGUCUAUUGUGGAAGGAAAUUUUCUUUGAAAACAGUUUUAAUGUUGGCCGAUCAGAUGAUUACUAGAAUAGAGUAUGUGCACUCAAAAGGCUUUUUACAUAGGGACAUCAAGCCUGAUAACUUUCUUAUGGGGCUUGGUCGGAAAGCAAACCAGGUGUAUAUAAUUGAUUUUGGGCUUGCAAAAAGAUAUAGAGAUGCUACUACUAACCGCCAUAUACCAUACAGAGAAAAUAAAAAUUUAACUGGGACUGCUCGAUAUGCAAGUUGCAACACCCAUUGGGGCAUUGAACAAAGCCGUAGGGAUGAUUUGGAAUCACUGGGCUAUGUUCUUCUAUAUUUCCUACGGGGAAGCCUUCCAUGGCAGGGCCUAAAAGCUGCAACAAAGAAGCAGAAAUACGAUAAGAUAUGUGAGAAGAAGCUUUCAACUCCUAUUGAAGUUUUGUGCAAAUCACAUCCCGUGGAAUUUGCAUCUUACUUCCACUAUUGUCACUCUUUGACAUUUGAUCAACGGCCGGAUUAUGGAUUUUUGAAGCGCCUUUUUCGGGAUUUGUUUAGCCGAGAUGGAUAUGAGUUUGACUAUAUAUUUGACUGGACAAUUCUAAAAUAUCAGCAAGCUAAUAAGACAAAGCCUCAACCUCGAUUUUCUCCAGUUUCUGGUGGUACAAGCGCUAGAGCUACCCCCAUGGAUGUUGACAAGCGUCAAGUUUCCGGUGCUGGUGAUUGUGAAGAAGACGUUACCGAGAGAGUAGGACCAAGUAAUGUCACAAGGCCAACUGUUCGAAUGCAGUUUAAACCUGCAGGUGAUAAGAAUUUGGCUUCCGAUAGUCAACGGCUUGGUAAGCUGAGAGUAGGCACAGGCGCUGACAAGCUUCACAUGUCAUCCACUUCGUUUGCGCUUCCCAGCAUUUCAAAGAAGAAUGUUGUAGGCUCCAAUCCAUCCGCCACAACUGAUGCUUCUCAUGUUGCUCGUGUUUCUGGUGGCAAUUCCGGAUCUUCAAGCAGCUGGCUUCCUCCAUUGCAGCGGAACGCUUCAGCCAAAUGAUAGCAUGAUCUGCAAAAAAUACAAGGUCAAGUUCCUGUAUUUCCAUUAAGGUCACCGCAGACUCAUUGGAUGCCAUAUGAAGAUCUUUACAAUGGUUGACUUGUGUGGAAAAUGCUUCAGUUUCCACUACUAUUUAUGCUUCUUCUUCAGUUUAACUUGGAUGAAAUGAUAACCAAGUUUUUUUUUUUUUAAAUUUCACUUCUCAACAUAGCCCAUGGCUCCUCUUGUGCCUGUCUUAUGGCUUGUAAAAUUUUCUAUUUUGUACGUUUUGUUUCAGGUUGAAAGGCUUGUACAUUUAUUCUUGUAAUACUUGUUUCAGAGCUCUAGAGAUGGUCGUCUGCACCAAUUUUAGCAUUAUUAGGUACUCCUCUAAAUAGAGCCAACACUAAGUGCUUCCAUUUCUAUUUUCUGUGCUGCUCAUGUUUAUUGAACUUUUGUCAGAGAAAGGUGCUGUAAUGGAAGAAUGGUGGAAGGUAAUGCAAGUAAUUAUUGAACAUAAAUAAUGUUAUGCUUAUCUUUGUGAUGAUUAUGAAUUAGGGUUUCUGUUUAGGAGAGUAGUUUUGGUUGGAAAUUAUAUAUUUUUAAGCUCUGCUGGCAAUUUUUGCAUUA